UCUUAUGGAUGAGCAAAGAAAGUGGUUUCUUGGGACAGAAUCUACUCCUAGUGAAGAUGCUGUGAA
rnacentral:pre_miRNA from 1 species